rnacentral:lncRNA from 1 species
CGCUUAAUGCUUUUAUCGUUUAACUCAUUCGAUAACUGUUAUUUGUCUCUAUUGAUACGGGAAUGUACAGUACUGUCAUGAACUGGUGAGAAAUUCCUUGAUUAAGAAUACCAACCUAGGGAUAGGGGGUAGGACGAUCAAUUGUUUUUGCUUCUGUUCUUAAUGCAUUAUUAAUUGCUAGGGGAGGCUAGGGAUAGCAAGCCGGUAAUUAGUAAUAGGCUCUUCUCGCCGAGGGAUCGGGUUAAGGGUAGGCCAAGAAAGUUUGCAUAACAAUUAGAUAAUCAAGCACAUUAAACAAGAAGAGUAUAUAAGAGGGCGGAAAAGAUGAAAUUGUAAACCCCCAACAACUCCAUUCAUCCAUAGCCUUUUUCGUCAAUUGAAUCAACCCAUUGCAUGUUUAUUUUUUGUCUUUCCAUUCACAACAAUUAAUUCUUUCUUUAUAAGUCUUACGAUUUUGAUUCACACGAACGAUAAACACUUUUUGAGUCUCUUGGGAAGAAAGAUAUCGGGCUUUACCGGUUAUAUUACUUGCACGAUCUGGUACACUUGCCAGUGAGUCAACAGGAGGCUAAGGAGGGGCUACCACCUUGAGAUGGUGGUCUAGCAUCUGCCUUUUGCUUGAGGAUUUUCUCCUCAAGCUUCCUAUACCCACCACAAGAUAAUAGGUGGGGGUUUUUGUUAUGAGCACUUUUUCCUUGUGCUUUGCUUCUAAUUGCC